GAAGCUCAGUGGCAGAGCACCUGCUUUGCAUGCAGAAGGUUCCAGGUUCAAUCCCUGGCAUCUCCA